rnacentral:rRNA from 1 species
UACGUAGGUGGCAAGCGUUAUCCGGAAUUAUUGGGCGUAAAGGGCGCGCAGGCGGUCUUCUAAGUCUGAUGUGAAAGCCCACGGCUUAACCGUGGAGGGUCAUUGGAAACUGGAGGACUUGAGUACAGAAGAGGAGAGUGGAAUUCCACGUGGAGCGGUGAAAUGCGUAGAGAUGUGGAGGAACACCAGUGGCGAAGGCGACUCUCUGGUCUGUAACUGACGCUGAGGUGCGAAAGCGUGGGUAGCGAACAGGAUUAGAUACCCCGGUAGU